UUAACUCAAAUUUGAAUGGAGUUCGCCUACGUUUGCCGCUAGGGGCGCUGUUCCAACUUCAUACAAAUUUGAGUUA
rnacentral:pre_miRNA from 1 species